rnacentral:sRNA from 1 species
UAGUAUAUAUAGCAAAUAAUAUGUAUGUAUAUAUAAAUAUAUAUUAUAUAUAUAUUGAGCCCUCUAUGUUUUUUCUUUAAUAAUUUCUAGUAUUUCUUUCUUUCGCUCUAGAGUUUCACAAAAUAGUCGUGAUGAAGAAAAGACGCGAAAGAGACCUCACCAUCCCCGACACAACUUGGUCACGGUGGAAUCUCCACAAGAGACAUCAAUAUUCCUAUCGAUCUAAUAGUGGAGAUACUAAAAAAACUCCCCGCAAUCUAGUGAAGUUCCAAUGCGUCUCGAAGCAAUGGUUAUCAAUUAUCAGGAGAUGUAGAGACUUCAUAGAUUCGAUCGUGACUCGGUCUUUGACUCAGCCUCCUCAUGAUGCCCAUCUCAUCUUCGAGCAUAAUUCAGGCCCCCUCAACGAAUGGUUCUUAGUGUUCUCGUCUAAUACGUAUACAAGAAGAUACGCUAUUUUUAACAGACAAAAUCGUCGAAAUAACGUUAGAAAUAGCCGUUUUCGAUUAUAUAAAUUGGUCGAUUUGAUCUCAUCGGAAAUCUGAAUGUCGUCGCAAACGUGUUACAAAUUAUCAACAGGUUUCCGAUGAGGUAUUUUCCGAUAAUUUUUCUACGCUUUUCUAACAAUAACAUUAGUUGGGAAACCAGUUGGAAGUGGAACAUAGUUGGAAAUGAUCGUCGGAUCCUCAUUGAAAAUAUUUUCUGACAAUUUUUCUACGCUUUUCUGACAAUACAUUGAUUGAGAAACCGGUUGGAACAUAGUCGGAAAUGAUCGUCAGAUCCUCGUCGGAAAUAUUUUCCGACAAUUUUCUAACGAAUAUUAAUGACAUGCAUUGCAUCAGAACUUUAUUGAAAAUCGGUCGGUAUCUUCUUCUGAUGGUUUCCCGACAACGUUAUUCCCGAUGGUAUACUUAUAAGAUUAACAUAUAAUAUGUAUAUCAUUCUAUAUGUAUCAUUCUGUACAGUAGUAUCUAUCUGUACAGUGGUCUUUAUCUGUACAGUGGUCUAUAUCACGUAAUAUUCUCUUUUUUGGGAAUGUUCCACUAUUAGGCAUUUUUAGAUAAUGUUUUUCUGUUUGAGGCACUUUAUAGAGAAUAUGCACUUUUUCAACUAAUUCUUUUUUUUUAAGACUUUUUUACCCUCAAUUCAAUAUUUAUGUUUUUAAUUCUCAAUUUCUCUUUCUUGUUAUUCCUCUUCCACGAUCCUUACCCAAAAUAAAUAAAAUCUCUCUCUCUCUCUCUCUCUCUCUCUCUCUCUCUCUCUCUCUCUCUCUCUCUCUCUCUCUCUCU